rnacentral:rRNA from 1 species
CCUACGGGUGGCAGCAGUGGGGAAUAUUGGACAAUGGGGGGAACCCUGAUCCAGCCAUGCCGCGUGUGUGAAGAAGGCCCUCGGGUUGUAAAGCACUUUCAGUGAGGAAGAACGCCUGGUGGUUAAUACCCAUCAGGAAAGACAACACUCACAGAAGAAGCACCGGCUAACUCCGUGCCAGCAGCCGCGGUAAUACGGAGGGUGCGAGCGUUAAUCGGAAUUACUGGGCGUAAAGCGCGCGUAGGUGGCUUGAUAAGCCGGUUGUGAAAGCCCCGGGCUCAACCUGGGAACGGCAUCCGGAACUGUCAAGCUAGAGUGCAGGAGAGGAAGGUAGAAUUCCCGGUGUAGCGGUGAAAUGCGUAGAGAUCGGGAGGAAUACCAGUGGCGAAGGCGGCCUUCUGGACUGACACUGACACUGAGGUGCGAAAGCGUGGGUAGCAAACAGGAUUAGAUACCCUAGUAGUC